UUUUUUUUUUUUUUUUAACAAUCCUUCCAGAUGCUACAGCUCAAUAAUAAAGCAAAAGAACAGCAAUAGAAGUACACUGGUUUCUUCAGUCCAGGGACACUAACAGUAGUGAGGCAUCAACGGUUCUUAUCAACAACUCUUAUUUCUGCAUCCUUAUAAAAGAAGAUAUUCUUGAGAAGCCCUUGUGAGGGAACUAAUAAUGAGUGCUGCUGGGUAAUUUUGGUCACUAAUAUAUUCUUGGGAAGCUCCUGGGCAGUAGCCAAGAUGAUCUAUGUGCAACGAGGUCCUUUGGGCUGGGUGCUGGAUUGCAGGAAGAGACCAAUCGCAAAGCAUAGGCACAAACCAACAGAUGUUCUGAUGCACCAGAAAGGAAGGGAAAAUAACGUUACCACAGAGGUAACAGGUGUGUUAGCACUGUGACAGGGAAGCCUCAGAACUUGUGUGCACCAGGAGAUAUUUCUGGAAAUCAAAAUAUUUCCAUGAAGUGCAGUCUCCAUUUCCCAGGACAGGUAAUAAUUUCUCACUUACAGUUCAAGAACAGAAUUCUAAGGCAUAGUCUGUGAUCAUGAGAAAAGUUUUUAUCACUCAAGGUAAAUAGAGAAUCCCUCAAUGGACAAAAUGAAGGGUUUUCUGUUCUGUCAAUGCCACCCAGAGUGAUGUCAAAGACACAAUAUACACCAGAAAUCCACGUGGAAAAAAAAAAUCUUCCUUAUUUCUAGCCCAGGAAAAAUUCAGAAUUAGAACUGAGCUUUAGAAAUUAAGUUUUAAUGGGAUUUCCAUAGACCUUCAAGCAGCCCCUAGAUAAGGGAGAAGUUAAGAUUCAAAUUAAAGCUUCUCUUUUAGCUCUCCCACUGUGCCUGAAAAUGUCUGUCAUACAUGGAAUUAUCCUGUCCUGAAAUGUGAUAGUUCAAAAAGAAACAUGAACAUCUCCUGGGACCAUGCUCAAAGCAAUGAGGAGUGGCUUUUCUGGUUUGGGGAAGUGAAUUCAAUGCCUGCCAACACCAAUAUCUCAGGCAGAACUGCAGCAGCUGUUGAAACUAUAAUAGCUGUGUUCCUUAUAUUCAACUUUUACCUCAAAAACUACUAAUGGUUGUAACAGUUAUACUACUUGGGACUAAAAAUGAGAGUGAGCCAAUUGAGUAAAAAGCAGCAAAUUUGAAACAAAUUUCCAAUUAUGAGUAGACUCUUUUAGAAACGUCAGGUUAAAAGAACCACAGAUGCAAUUUGUUUACGGCCAUAUUGUAAAUUAUGGAAAGACUGGAAGACCCCAGUGCCCCCCAGUUUAUUUGGAAUGAACACAGUUUGCCAAAAGAAGAGGAUGCCUCUGUCAGUGAAUGUGCACUCUCAAGGACAGCAGUGCAUGUUAGCUUGGUACUCUUAAAGAUUAAGAUAUAUUUCUAUGAGAUCAACACUGUCUCAGCAGUAGGGAAAUAUUUAUCCUUCCAGUUUCUUCUAAGAUGGGUGCAAUUAGUAUUGUAAUUUCACACAGGGCAGAAUAGUAACAGAGAUAAAUCAGGUCCCUUAAAUACCACCCACUGGACACUUGACAGUGUUGUUUCAGGUUAAACUUUGUUCUGCAAGCAAAUGUAUUUAUUUAGUAUUUAUCUCUGUCCCAGAAGCUUUGAGCAGCUCAACAGGUAUGUUUAGAAACAGCUGCUUCUCUGUGGCUGGGGCUUCAGCAACUGAUGCACCGAAGUGAUGCAGGCCAUGCAGAGUGGUGGCAGCCAGAGUUUCCACGCUGUGCAGAGGGCUUAGACAAGGACAUGUGCAGUCAUAAAUAAUCCCCUCAAGUCCACAGAUAGCCCAACUAAUGCCUAUAUCCACUGACUUUAGGGGGAGACACUCUUAAAGGCUCAAGGUGUCAGGCCUAGAACUAAGUUUCAUUUACCCUAGCAGCAAAGCAAGAUUGGUAUUUACUGCAGAGAGUUAUUACAAGGGUUAUAGAAUGCUGGCAGAGUGCUGUGAGCAUGAACUAUGCCUCAUAUCAUUAAAUAUGUGGCAGAUGUACCUGCAGAGAACUCAUUAAUUCUGAUUUCUAUUCCUGUUAGUCUAGAAAUAUUAGCAUCUAAUUGUUAGUUUCUAAAAUAUUCCAACAAACUUUUUUUAACUGAAAAACUGUGUCAGCAUUUUUUUUUGGAAUAUCAGAUGAAGUCUCUUCUCUUGUAUGCCCCUCAAGUAAUGUGUUACAAUAACCUCAAUUACCUAACAGAAACUGGUGGGGCGUCAGCAGGAAGGCUUUAAGGAGGAGCUGGGAGAUCUCUGCCCAGUAAAUCCAAAUGAAGAAACCUUUAAUGGCGUAAGAAAAUUCUGAAAAUGAAGAACAAACCUACUGCAUAUGUGAGAUACAAACACUAUGGCAGCACUGUAAAUAUUGUGAGGUUUUACUGUAGUGCCCCUCAAGGAGCAAAAGGCUGAGUGGGGACACAGCCAGCAGCAGAGUGCUGUGUGCUGUAACUGCAGUCUGCUAUAAAGAAAUCCAAAGUAAUUUGCAUCUCUUCUUUCCUUAAAGAGCAUCUAGUGGAAGAAAGACUGAUUUUCUCUCUUCUGAUGCUUUUUUCACCCUGGAAGUCUCAAGAUCAGUUCAUUCUACACAGAAACCAGAGCCUGGAAGUAAUAUCAAUAGCUGUGUACAAAACCCUGUAAAAAUGAAUUAAUCCAUCUUAGUGGAAGACAGAACUCACUCUCCCAAACACUGCUUCCCUGGAAAGGACGGCAGGACACCACAUGUUGUUCUGCAUAGCAGCAUAUGGGGGCCAGGAAUUUACUGGAGGUUUCCCCAGACUGCAGCUUUGGGGACAAAAUCUUCUAUCAGCUUAGACCACUCAGCCUGCCUUGCUAGCAUCUGUUGACUUGAAAGGCUGACAGAGGAAAACUUCAUUUAACCAGAAAGAUAUACCAAAAAAUGGGUAUUCAGCAGCAGUACCUUUGUAAACACUGAGUAAGAAAACCAAACCGUACCAUGAAAUAAAAACUCUGCUUUACACCACAAUUUGCAGCAAUUACAACCCUGGUCAAUAGCAAAGUUGGAAAUAAACUUACUGGCCAACAGAUCUUUGCAGGAAAUAGCUGUUUAAUUAUUUAAUUAUUUGGGGAGGGCACUAAAGAGAAGGGAAAUGCACAGAGUAAACACGUGGGAAUGUAAAUAUUUGCAUAGCCUGGCAUGACUGGGAGGCCUCUACAAGUGACUCCAAAAGUCUCAGAAACUUUUUCCUCCAAGUGUGCUCAGCGAGCAGCAACACUUUCAGUAGGAUCUGAGGGGUUUUACUGCCAGAGUUUUAUUUUUAAUUCUGCCUAAAUAGUCACCAGCUACAUGUCUACCUUUGCCUUCUUUUUGCUUGAUUAGGAUUUUGGAUCAGCACAGUGUGAUAUCUUGCCAUGAACAAGAGUUCAGUCUCCACUCAUUCCUUCAAUACCUUGCACGUUGCAAUUUCACAGAAUUCAGGGUCCCAGCUGAGUGGGAUGAAAGUCUUUGAGAUCUGUUUCAAAGCAGUACCAUAACUCAGAAGGCCUAACAAUAUUUGUACUUUGGGAAACCAAACCAAAUUUGGGUUCUUAAGUAGCAUCACUGCAAAAAAAGAGGAGCUUUUUCUGUGAAACAAAUCACGGUGCAUAAGCAAAAGGCAUAUUGAAUUUCUGAAGUACUGCUAAGCAAGGAUGCAAACCUUAGGAAAGGAUAACAUUGUUGCUUUGAAGUGCAGCAAGGCUGAGAAAAUGUUUUUGACAGGUCUUAGGAAUGGACUUCUGCUCAGUUUGGCACAUUUUCCUUGUGCCUUCCUGAACUAUACUGAGAAUUACAAAGAGGACACAUGGAAGAAAAGAGACAAAGGGGCUUGUAAAAGGUCAAAUGGUUUAACAGAAGCCGUAGAAUAAAUGGAAAUUAUAGACACAGAUUCCUACUUUCAAUCCUAUGUAGAACUUCACUAACAUGCCAUUUAUGCUGUGUUAACCAUCCUUAGGUAGGUAACACAUGCUACAAUACACUGAAAACAACACAUUUAAAGCAACUUCUAUUCUGUGUACUCUGUGGGAUUUUAUCUGUUGGACUUUUGAAGAGUAUUCCUGCUACUCUCUCAGUAAAGCUGUUAGUAUAAAUGGGACCAACUCCUACUGUCACAGACAGCAUAAUACUAAAAGGUUUAAUAGGCUGUUUGGCAGGAGAGAGACAGAAUAGAUUAUGUUGCUAAAUUAGUGACACUGACACUUUGCCCUUCGUUACUCGUGUUCUUAUCUUUCCCCACAGAAAAAUCAGUGCUGGAUGGUGCAAGCUGCCAGGCUGUGGGUUUGUAGUUAGGCUGCACUACAAUGGCCCUGCUUCACAAAGAGGAAUUUAUUUCCCUUGAAUAUUUGUAAUCUGUUGCUAUUAAAGGUUUAAUUAAAUAUAGCUUUAGGGCACUAAUUAACACAUAAUAAUUACAUGCUCUGACUCUCCUCCACACCCAUCAUCUAGCAAAUAUACAAUAUUAAAUCAAAAUAGGCACACAAAAUAUAUUCAUGGCAUGGCCUCACUUCCUUGCUAUUGAAGUCAACAAUAAAGUUCUGAAAUAAUCAGGCAGAGAACUCUUCAGAGAAUAAAUUGGCUUACUAAAAGUAAAUCUUUGUAUCUUGACAAGUUGGCAUUACAUGACAGUUUUAGUAUUCAUUUAUGGGUCACAAUUUUAUUUUCAGUCCUGCCGGCAUUUUAAGGCACAUGGGACACACCAGAAAAAGGACACCUGAACAGAAAUGUGCAGACACAUUGGGUACCCUCAAACAGCUAGAAAGAAAGAUAUGCAGGGGAAAAAUAAUCAUCCAAUCCAACAAAACCAACUGAAGCUGUACAUCAGAUGAACCCCAAUAUAAGCAUUGUGCUUUUCCAGCUAGAAAAGGACCAGGCAGUUUUUUCCAUCAUUCACAAUUAAUGGGCCAGAGUACUGUUCCCAGAGUUCUCUACUCCCUCAAGAAUGCUUAUCUAAUAUAUCUUUAAUCCUUCUGUGUCUUCACCUGAGGGCUGAGAGCAAGUGAAUAAAGCUCCACCAUCUAGGCUCCCAUCUUAUUCUCUCCAAUAUUUAUGAGAGCAAAGAAAUACUUGAACACAUGUUGCAAAGCAUGACUAAGAAAAAAAAUAAUUCCUGACAUUCCAUCCCUACUACACCCACCUAAGUAAUUAUUUAUUUACAAUGGCCUGGCCUUCUGCAAGGCUUUACAAGGGGUUUAUCUGCCACAUGAAUUUGUUUCAGAUAACUCACUACUUAAUGAACCACAUCUGGAAGGAGGGAUUUUUUUUUUCCCUCCUGCCAUGGGCAUUACCCUCUGAAUCCUGCAGUUCUUGUCUGUCCCUGUCACUAGCACUGCAAGCAGCCUCCACAGAGCUUCGGUUCUUAUACGAGCAAUGGGUGAGUGUUGCUUUGGUGCAUUACUUGUUGCUGUAGGAUUGAAUUCCGGGAGACAUUCUACGUGGACGUCCUCGGGAGCUGCUCCAGGCAGCGCCGAGCCCGGGUGCGGCACUCGGUGUUCUCGGGCGCCACCUGGCGGCAAUUCAUUGAUCACGGCACCUCUGCGCUUCCAGCAGGAAUUUUCCCUUCCCGAGGUGGGAGUGGGCUACCCAAACGUCCAGCAAAGCUCCUGAACCACAGCCUGUCCUGUUUAUGCUGCUGGAACCCCACCGUGUCUCAACAGUUGAUCCCAAGCCCUAAAAUGUAGGUCUCGACUACAUGACUCCAAGCCUUGUAGUCAUUCUGACCAGCAGUGACAAGAAUUCACCUCUUGGUAAGAGAUAAAAGUGUGGUUUGUGCCAAGAUCCGGAUUCAAAAGCAUGAAUCCCUUAAGCCCAUGAAUCCCCGUUUCCCUGCAGCUCCCAAACACACGGAUGUAACACUCCAGUUCAUGCGUAUUCCUAGUCCAGACUCUCUCUCUGCAGACAAAGGCAUCACACCACUGUUCUGAGAGCAAACUGCUGUUUGUACAGAUCUGUCAUUCCAAACCCAGCAGAAAAAAUACCUCCAAGAGUCAGAUAUUCCCAUGAGGCACAAGAGAAUUUGGCAUUAUUUGUGUGUGACAAGCACAAUCUAAAUUUACAAGUGUAUGAAUCAAUCAGGGAAUUUCCAAAAGCAUUUUAGAAUGAGAAGACCAUUGAGCUGCCACAUGUAGGCUGUAGAAUGAGGAAGAAAUUCAGCUCUAAAAUUCUCUGCUGAUGACACAAAACUCAAUUUGGAAACAUUAGCUAAAGAAAAAUACAAACCUGUUCCUACAACCACAGCUAUGAAGACAAAUUGCAUACACUCACCAAAUAGAAAUUAGAAGUAUGUUUAAUAGCAGGGCUUAGCAGAAGCAAGUGUACAACUAUGAAACCCAGUCAUACAUUUUUUUUGCCAAAGGAUCAACCCUAAGAAUAACUAAACCCACCCUGUAAGUAUCUCAGUGCAAAGAGGAUUUAGAAAUGGGCAGCUAAUGAGGGAUGUAUUAAUCCUGAUGCAUAAGAAUAUUUAUACCCAUACUCAGUGCUGAAGAAAAAUCCUGACUAUAACCUUGUAUUCAAAUAUUCCAUGAGCAGCUGCCAGUUCAUGUUUGCACUUCAAAUCCAAGCCUGGAAUGCAACUGUUGGGAUGGAAAUUCGCGAGCAUUACUUGUCUAUGAGUCUAAUUAAAGAUACAGACCUGCUGCAAAUGGCAAAGCAGUGCUGGCUCAGCUCACAUGGCACCCAUCCUGCACUACUGCUGUGCUCACACACAACAUUCAGUAACCCACCACUCACCUCUCUGCUCUUCUCUCCAAUCCAGUUUCAAAUAUCCCAAAGGAGCAAACUAUCAUCUUCCCUGAACAACACUUCCAUAAUACCCACAUUGUAAGGAAAUACUCCCUCGUAACCAGAAUAAUUUCACUUUUUGGAGUUUUCAGUUCAAUAUUGAUAUGACUGUAAACAAUUCCAUUAUUUUUUUGGGCUUCUAUGUUUCCUUCUACUGAAGAGCUCAGCGAAAAGGAGUUUUUCGUAUAAAAAAAAAAAAAAAAAAAAAAAA
rnacentral:lncRNA from 1 species